rnacentral:rRNA from 1 species
UACGUAGGGGGCAAGCGUUGUCCGGAAUUAUUGGGCGUAAAGAGCUCGUAGGCGGUCUGUCGCGUCGGCUGUGAAAUCCCGAGGCUCAACCUCGGUCUGCAGUCGAUACGGGCAAACUAGAGUAUUGCAGGGGAGACUGGAAUUCCUGGUGUAGCGGUGAAAUGCGCAGAUAUCAGGAGGAACACCAGCGGCGAAGGCGCUUCUGGUCUGAUACUGACGCUGAGACGCGAAAGCGUGGGGAGCGAUCCGG